CGCGCGUCGUGCGAGUGGCUCGAUCGAUCUCACGCUCGAUCGCGUCUGAGAACACAUCGCUGGAACUUGACUCAGGAUAAUACCUGCGUAAGGAACGACCGCGGCAUCGCG
rnacentral:ncRNA from 1 species